rnacentral:rRNA from 1 species
UACGUAGGGCGCAAGCGUUGUCCGGAAUUAUUGGGCGUAAAGAGCUCGUAGGCGGCUUGUCACGUCGGUUGUGAAAGCCCGGGGCUUAACCCCGGGUCUGCAGUCGAUACGGGCAGGCUAGAGUGCUGUAGGGGAGACUGGAAUUCCUGGUGUAGCGGUGAAAUGCGUAGAUAUCAAGCGGAACACCAGUGGCGAAGGCGAGUCCCUGGACAACUCCUGACACUGAGGCACGAAAGCUAGGGGAGCAAACAGG